UUUAUGGAGAGUUUGAUCCUGGCUCAGGAUGAACGCUGGCGGCGUGCCUAAUACAUGCAAGUCGAGCGAACGGACGAGAAGCUUGCUUCUCUGAUGUUAGCGGCGGACGGGUGAGUAACACGUGGAUAACCUACCUAUAAGACUGGGAUAACUUCGGGAAACCGGAGCUAAUACCGGAUAAUAUUUUGAACCGCAUGGUUCAAAAGUGAAAGACGGUCUUGCUGUCACUUAUAGAUGGAUCCGCGCUGCAUUAGCUAGUUGGUAAGGUAACGGCUUACCAAGGCAACGAUGCAUAGCCGACCUGAGAGGGUGAUCGGCCACACUGGAACUGAGACACGGUCCAGACUCCUACGGGAGGCAGCAGUAGGGAAUCUUCCGCAAUGGGCGAAAGCCUGACGGAGCAACGCCGCGUGAGUGAUGAAGGUCUUCGGAUCGUAAAACUCUGUUAUUAGGGAAGAACAUAUGUGUAAGUAACUGUGCACAUCUUGACGGUACCUAAUCAGAAAGCCACGGCUAACUACGUGCCAGCAGCCGCGGUAAUA
rnacentral:rRNA from 1 species